rnacentral:tRNA from 3 species
GUCGUGGUAGCCUAGCCUGGUCCAAGGCGCAGGGUUGCUAACUCUGUGGCGUGAAGCCUCCGGGGUUCAAAUCCCCGCCACGACG